UCAUCUUUAUGUAGUGUAAUCAUAGUUUGCUCUUCUCAUGUAAAAUAUGCGCCUCUGGUGGAUGUUUGCGAUUGGUCACGCUGUGCAAACACCGCCUCCGCCGUGCUGCUGGAU